rnacentral:rRNA from 1 species
UACGUAGGGGGCGAGCGUUGUCCGGAGUUACUGGGCGUAAAGCGCACGCAGGCGGUCUGCUCAGUUUGGAGUGACAGUUGGUGGCUCAACCACCAAAGUGCUUCGAAAACUGACAGACUUGAGGGCUUCAGAGGGACACGGAAUUCCGGGUGGAGUGGUGAAAUGCGUAGAGAUCCGGAGGAACACCGAAGGCGAAGGCAGUGUCCUGGGGAGUACCUGACGCUCAGGUGCGAAAGCUAGGGGAGCGAACGGG